AAACUGAAGAGUUUGAUCCUGGCUCAGAUUGAACGCUGGCGGCAUGCCUUACACAUGCAAGUCGAAC
rnacentral:rRNA from 2 species